UCCAGUCUCUGCCUCUGAUGUUACCCAAGAACUCAAAAUCAAUCUCAUCAUGGUUCCUCUUGAACAUAUCACCAUUUGACAUCUGUACCCACAAGGUAAACCAUGAUUAAAGACUUUAGACUUUUUCUGGGGCUGAAUGUUCUCUCAUUGAAAGUGAUUGCCUUUGCAUGAAUCCUGAUCUGGGUGUCAUCGAUUUGAUCCGCUUUGGAAACUCAAAAAUCGAUAAACAACAUUUUAUGCGAAGAAAUUAACAGAUGAAUAAACAUCUCCUCAAAAUUUUAUGGAAAGAUUAGAGAUUGAGAUUGAAAAAGAAGACGUCCAAAAGAGGUUCAAUAUAUUUUAAAAUACAAGGUCUAACUAUUGUAUAAAAAAAGGAAGAACAAUAUAUGAUGAACCCUUCCGUCUUAGGUUGAUCAGUUUGACUUCACUGUUGAAACUCUAUCAGCGUACUUGAGGAAAUAUUAAAAACAGAGGAAAAAACUAAGCCGGAGUUCGUAUUUUUAGAUUCAAGUCAAAAACUUGAUGUACUAAAGCGAUUAAACUUGUAAAAUAAUCAUUUAAAAAAUGGGGAAAAUAUAUUUUUUUAAUCGAGUUUCAUCAAUGGAUUACUCACAUAAAACGCAACAACAACUCCAGCAGUAUAAUCUGCAGGCAACUUAAUGGAAGCACUGAAGAAGCCAUGGAAAUAGAGAUCAUUGGACACAAAUCCAGAACCUGCAAUAAACACCCAACAAAAAAAUUGAAGAAAAAGAAGACAAAGGGCACAAACCAUUUAAAGAAACAAGCAGAAAGCACAGACCUGUCCUCUCAUCUAGAGACAAAUGAACAGAUUUUCCAUCUUUGAAGAUAACCAUGUUAUCAUCACCAAACAACUGGGUAUAUCCUUCGUCGAAUGAAAAAAUUGGGAGGUUUCCAUGAGACCCAGAAGCCAUAACAGCAAGCAAAGACAGAAGCAAGAAAUACA
rnacentral:lncRNA from 1 species